rnacentral:misc_RNA from 1 species
GGGAACUCGAGAUCGUCAUGAUGUUAAGGCUGUUUCAACCAACAGUGACCGCAGAGUUAGAGGCCGCAGCUUUAGCCCGAGUCCGAGCCCAAAAAGGAGACGUGGUGAGUUGGCUCGUAGUCGGAGUCGCAGUCGCAGUCGGAGAUUGGACCAUGGGCAGAAUCGCUCCAGGAGCCACAGUCACAGCAUGAGUCCGGGGCUCAACAGGCUGCCUGGACCUGCUAGGAGGCAGUCUCCAGACUCACCACCUUCCAAAAGCAAACCUUCAAUUGAUCAUCAUGCAAGCAAACCUAUUCA